GACGCCCGAAGGAGAGGCUGUCUGUGUUGUCUUCUCUGUGUGUCUGAUGAAACAUACAUGGGAAGCCCCUCCUUUGGCGUC
rnacentral:pre_miRNA from 1 species